rnacentral:rRNA from 1 species
CCUACGGGAGGCAGCAGUAAGGAAUAUUGGACAAUGGUGGCAACACUGAUCCAGCCAUGCCGCGUGCAGGAUGACGGUUCUAUGAAUUGUAAACUGCUUUUAUACGGGAAAAACCCUCAAGACGUGAUUUUGAGCUGAUUGUACCGUAAGAAUAAGGAUCGGCUAACUUCGUGCCAGCAGCCGCGGUAAUACGGAGGGUGCAAGCGUUAUCCGGAUUCACUGGGUUUAAAGGGUGCGUAGGUGGGCAUUUAAGUCAGUGGUGAAAUCUCCGGGCUUAACCCGGAAACUGCCAUUGAUACUAUUUGUCUUGAAUAUUGUGGAGGUAAGCGGAAUAUGUCAUGUAGCGGUGAAAUGCUUAGAUAUGACAUAGAACACCCAUUGCGAAGGCAGCUUACUACGCAAAUAUUGACACUGAGGCACGAAAGCGUGGGGAUCAAACAGGAUUAGAUACCCUGGUAGUCCACGCCCUAAACGAUGGAUACUCGACAUCAGCGAUACACAGUGGUGUCGUGAGACGAAGACGAUUAAGUAUAACCUACCGUACGGUUAGGUUACGUACCGACGAGUAGAACGACGAAGAAGUUAGAGGCGNGAGAGNGCGACGGACGACGACGAGGGAGGAGG